AUGUCUGUGUCUCUGCAGUAUGUUUCAUGGAGAGUCUGAGUGACAGCAACCAUGAUGAAAGUGAUACAGGUAAGAACAGCUCUCAGGUAGGAGCCAAUGGGAGAGGGAUCCCGGGACACUUGGGUGACGCCUGCUGCUUGGAGUGUGGGGCAGGUGAGUCUGAAACUUAAAAACAGAAAGAAAUUGAUGUAAAGAUGUUCACCGCCUACUUUAAUAAGGAGAGGGAGCAGAUAUGAGAUGCCUGAAUGUUGGCAUCUGUGCUCACCUUGUGUGGAAGGGUCUCAGUCCAUGGAGCAGAGGGAAGGUCUGGGCACCUGGAGGAAAAACCAGGGUGAUGCUCUGUACCCGUAGUCACCUCAGGGAAGCCGGAGAAACGGGAGGGCCACUCUUUCUAACUCCUUGAUUCCCCUGAUGGUGUGUUUCUACAGACUCAGUGGUGGAGAGCCUGAGCAGCCGCCAGGAUGAGGAGGCUGCAGCAACCCUCGAUGAUGUUGUGGAGGCCGGCGGGAGUGAGAAGACGGAGGAAGAGGCCCUGGCUGGGGCAAAUGAGGAGGAGGUGGGGCCGGGAACUGAGAAGGUGCAGGAGGAGGCUGCCUGCAUUGACGAGGCAGAGGAGGAGGCAGGCCCAUCCCUUGAAAAUGACGAGGAGUCCCCAGCCAGCGACCUGGUUGAGCAGGAAGACCAGCUUGCCCCCAAGGUAAGCUCACCUUUCUUGAUCGGAGAUUUAAAAAGGUGCCUCCUUUCUUCUUGGAUGUGCCUACUUCAGAAAAGGAAAUCUGAGCAAGUCCAUUAUAGAGGAUAUAUGCACAUUCCUCUGUGGAGGAAUGUUGAGUCAAAGU
rnacentral:lncRNA from 1 species